UACGUAGGUGGCAAGCGUUAUCCGGAUUUACUGGGUGUAAAGGGCGUGUAGGCGGGAUGUCAAGUCAGGUGUGAAAUUCCAGGGCUCAACCCUGGACGUGCACUUGAAACUGAUGUUCUUGAGUGAUGGAGAGGCAAGCGGAAUUCCGUGUGUAGCGGUGAAAUGCGUAGAUAUACGGAGGAACACCAGUGGCGAAGGCGGGUGACUGGACUGCAACUGACGCUGAGGCGCGAAAGUGUGGGGAGCAAACAGGAUUAGA
rnacentral:rRNA from 1 species